GCGCCGUUGACCGAUUGGGGAGGUAGCGAACUCAUAAUUCGCCUUCAGGCUGGUUCGAUUCCAGCACGGCGCA
rnacentral:tRNA from 11 species